AACGAACGCUUGCGGCAUGCCUAACACAUGCAAGUCGAACGAGAUCUUCGGGUCUAGUGGCGCACGGGUGCGUAACGCGUGGGAAUCUGCCCUUUGGUCCGGAAUAACAGUUGGAAACGACUGCUAAUACCGGAUGAUGACGAAAGUCCAAAGAUUUAUCGCCAGAGGAUAAGCCCGCGUAGGAUUAGCUAGUUGGUGUGGUGAAGGCGCACCAAGGCGACGAUCCUUAGCUGGUCUGAGAGGAUGAUCAGCCACACUGGUACUGAGACACGGCCCAGACUCCAACGGGAGGGAGCAGGGGGGAAGAUUGGACGAUGGGCGAAAGCCUGAUCCGGCAAUGCCGCGUGAGUAAUGAAGGCCUUGGGGUUGUAAAGCUCUUUUACCCGGGAUGAUAAAGACAGUACCGGGAGAAUAAGCUCCGGCUAACUCCGUGCCAGCAGCCGCCGUAAGAC
rnacentral:rRNA from 1 species